AAGCUUUUUGCUCGGGUUAUGUUUUGGAUCUGAAUAUAAGACGAACAAAAGGUUUGU
ensembl:miRNA mdo-mir-208b mdo-mir-208b